ACGGAAGGCAGCAGCUAAGAAUAUUCCGCAAUGGACGAAAGUCUGACGGAGCGACGCCGCGUGGAUGAUGAAGGCCGGAAGGUUGUAAAAUCCUUUUAUGACUGAGGAAUAAGCAGGGUGAGAGAAACGCCCUGUGGUGACUGUAGGUCAUGAAUAAGCAACGGCUAAUUACGUGCCAGCAGCCGCGGUAACACGUAAGUUGCGAGCGUUGUUCGAAAUUAUUGGGCGUAAAGGGCAUGUAGGCGGUUUUGCAAGCUUGGUGUGAAAUCUCGGAGCUCAACUCCGAAAUUGCGUUGAGAACUGCAUGACUAGAGUCACUGAGGGGCAAUCAGAAUUCCAGGUGUAGGGGUGAAAUCUGUAGAUAUCUGGAAGAAUACCAAUGGCGAAGGCAGGUUACCAGCAGAUGACUGACGCCGAGGUGCGAAGGUGCGGGGAGCAAACAGGAUUAGAUACCCUGGUA
rnacentral:rRNA from 1 species